GAUGAACGCUGGCGGCGUGCCUAAUACAUGCAAGUCGAGCGAACAGACGAGGAGCUUGCUCCUCUGGCGUUAGCGGCGGACGGGUGAGUAACACGUGGAUAACCUACCUAUAAGACUGGGAUAACUUCGGGAAACCGGAGCUAAUACCGGAUAAUAUAUUGAACCGCAUGGUUCAAUAGUGAAAGACGGUUUUCUGUCACUUAUAGAUGGAUCCGCGCCGCAUUAGCUAGUUGGUAAGGUAACGGCUUACCAAGGCAACGAUGCGUAGCCGACCUGAGAGGGUGAUCGGCCACACUGGAACUGAGACACGGUCCAGACUCCUACGGGAGGCAGCAGUAGGGAAUCUUCCGCAAUGGGCGAAAGCUUGACGGAGCAACGCCGCGUGAGUGAUGAAGGUCUUCGGAUCGUAAAACUCUGUUAUUAGGGAAGAACAAAUGUGUAAGUAACUAUGCACGUCUUGACGGUACCUAAUCAGAAAGCCACGGCUAACUACGUG
rnacentral:rRNA from 1 species